AGAGUUUGAUCAUGGCUCAGAGCGAACGCUGGCGGCAGGCCUAACACAUGCAAGUCGAACGAACCUUUCGGGGUUAGUGGCGGACGGGUGAGUAACACGUGGGAACGUGCCUUUAGGUUCGGAAUAACUCAGGGAAACUUGUGCUAAUACCGAAUGUGCCCUUCGGGGGAAAGAUUUAUCGCCUUUAGAGCGGCCCGCGUCUGAUUAGCUAGUUGGUUGAGGUAAUGGCUCACCAAGGCGACGAUCAGUAGCUGGUCUGAGAGGAUGAUCAGCCACAUUGGGACUGAGACACGGCCCAAACUCCUACGGGAGGCAGCAGUGGGGAAUCUUGCGCAAUGGGCGAAAGCCUGACGCAGCCAUGCCGCGUGAAUGAUGAAGGUCUUAGGAUUGUAAAAUUCUUUCACCGGGGACGAUAAUGACGGUACCCGGAGAAGAAGCCCCGGCUAACUUCGUGCCAGCAGCCGCGGUAAUACGAAGGGGGCUAGCGUUGCUCGGAAUUACUGGGCGUAAAGGGAGCGUAGGCGGACAUUUAAGUCAGGGGUGAAAUCCCGGGGCUCAACCUCGGAAUUGCCUUUGAUACUGGGUGUCUUGAGUAUGAGAGAGGUGUGUGGAACUCCGAGUGUAGAGGUGAAAUUCGUAGAUAUUCGGAAGAACACCAGUGGCCGAAGGCGACACACUGGCUCAUUACUGACGC
rnacentral:rRNA from 1 species